ACUCAAGAAGGGCUUCCUACAGGAGGUGGAGAGAAAUUAAAGGUAUCAGGAGACGGUGGAGAGAGCCUGUCAUCACUGACAAAAUGCCCCAAAAAAAUCAACUUAGAGGAGGAAGGAUUUAUUUUGUCCCAUGGUUUCCGUGGUUUUAGUCCAUGGUCACUUGCUCUGUUGUCUCUGUGCCCGUGGUGAUGCUCCCCUCACGGCAGACAGGAAGAGAGAGAGGGUGGGGGAGAAAAGAAGAUAGAGACUGGAGACAAGAUCUUAUCCCCAAGGUCACCCGUCACACACUCCCCUCAGCCAGGGCCGACGGUUUCCAUCACCUCUCGAGGACCCAUCAAUCCACAAACCCAUCCAGGACAAACCCCAGAUGGGUCAGAGCCCUUGUGAUCCUUGUGAUCCGCUCAUUUCCCCAAAGCCUCACUCUGAGACCUGCUGUGCUAGAAACAAGGCCUUCAACACCGAGCCUCCGGAACAUCCCGGAUCCACACCCUAACAGCAGUGACUGACACAAAUGGUGCAGGGGCUGGCACGGAGGCCAGAAGAGGCGUCUCUAGCAGAGGUCCCUGAAGGAUGUGCAGGGAAGACCGAGCAGCAGGUAGAGGAGGAACAGGACAGCAAAGGUAUGGCGGCAUGCAUUGGCCAGGUGCUGGAGAAACUACGAGACCAAAACAGACAGAGGUGGCUGGGAAGAAGGAUGGGGGCAGACCAGGGCUUGAAGGCCGAGCUGAGAGGCUUAGAAUCGGUUCCAUUGGUCACGGAGACCCAUGCAGGUUCCAUGGAACAACUGACAUGUCGGAUUUGAGAUUUAUGAAGACAAUAGCUAAGAAGUGAGGCUGGGGGUACAGCCUACUGGCAGAGUCCUGCAGUGUCCGCUGAGAGGUGACAGCUAUGAACAGACCUGAGACCAUUUAGGAAGUAAUGUUGCUAGAUCAUGGUAAAAUAAAAUUCACCAUUUAGCCAUUUUUUAAGUGUAUGGUUUGGUGGCAGUAAAUGUGCUCCUGUUGUGAUAGAACCCAUCAUCACCUUCUCUCCAGCUCUUCCCCAAUAUCCACAACUGAAACUCCGUAUGUGUGAAACGCUUACUCUCCGCCCCUCCCAGGGGCCUGGCAACCACCAUCCUACACUGUGCCUGUGACUCUAGGGACACUGCAUACCCUAGGGAAGUGAAAUCACACAGUAUGUGUGCCUUUGUGGCUGGCUUAUUUCACGAGGAUGAUGCCCUCAAGGACUGUCCGUGCUGUGGCCGGGACAGGACGCCCUUCCUUCCCUCUCCAGGCGGAAUGACACCCACUUGCAGGUGCACAGUACUGGGCCUCCUCCAUUUACCCAUCCGUGGAGGGCUCCGUCCACCUCUCGGCUGCUGGGUGGGAGUCAUGCUGCUGUGAAGGUGGAGGGGCCUGAGGCCCUGAAGUCACUUUUCCUGCUCGCAGUUAGGAGUAGAAUCGCUGGAUUGUAGGGUAAUUCUGGGUUUAACUGCUUAACCUCUCCAGGUCCUUCCACAACGGCAGCACCAUUUCCCAUCCCUUAGAAGUGUGCAAGGGCCCAAUUCUCCCACAGCCUGCCUCACCAGCACCUGUUAUUAUCUGGAUUCUUUAUGGUCACCACCCUGAUGCAUGUGAGGUGACGAACUGCUGGAUCUUGGGGAUGGUUGUAUGGGAGCAGCUGAGGGGUAGGAGAAUGACAGCCAAAAAGGACAAUGACCCUAGAUUGGUGGCAUGGCCAACUGAGUGGAUGAAGAUCCACGAGAUGAGCUGCAGACAAGAUGUAGGCAAUGGGGAAGAGUCCGGGUGCUCUCGACCUUGAGGGUUCUGAAGGGCGUCCUGGUUGAACAUCGGGGUCUGCAGGCCUGGGACAGUCUGUGCUGCAGGUCAGAAGUCACCAGCAUGUGAUGCAAAGCCACCGCCAAGAACAAGAGUGCUUGGGACAUAUGGGAUGCCAGAAAAAGGGGGCCCGGAAUGGUCCCCGUGUUUUUGGUGUGGGACAAUAAAGGAACACACUCAGGGAGACAGAGAUGAGCCCAAGAGAUAAGAGGAAAGCCAAGACACAAGGUCAAAAGUUGUAGAAGCUAGGAUUGGAUUCUCUUCUACUCAACAGGAACCCCAAACCAGUGGCUUAAUCAAGGUAAUUUCAUGGUCACAAGAUUGUUGCCAAGGCUGUAGCCAUCACAGCCGUGCUCCAACAGCAAGGAGGAAAAAGCAGGAGCAGAAGACUUGCCUCUGAGCUGAGAUGGCCCACAAGCUUUGAAAGAGCAGUUCCUGGAAACCCUUUUCCAUCUCUCCUCAGGGUUUUCACCUCACCAGUCACACCCAGGUGCGAAGAAGCCUUGUCGGGUCCUCAGGCUGAGUCACGGGGAGAGUCCAGACUGGGAGGAGGCGGCGAUUGAUGCAGGUGAAGGAGCCGCCACCGGAACCAUCUCCCAGGUGCCUUCUUUCCCAGGAGGUGGCAUCGCACCCGCCCUGGUACCCACCCCUGUUGAUUCAGCCUUAACAAACCCUGCCCUGGACACCAGAUGUCCUCCCCAAAGGCCCCGGCCUGUGCCUCCAUCCAGCGCCCGCCCAUCCUCCACACUGCUGCAGCCGUCUUCCUUGGGCCCAGCUGGCUCCUUGCCUUCCUCCUGCCCUGAAGUUUCCCAUCAUCCUCCGCGGGGACUCCAACCACGGGUCCCUUACUUCCUGUUCCCCUAGUGCCAUGCCCUGGGCCACACCAUUCCAGCCACCAGCACCCAGCAGGGAAUGAAUGCCCUCUCAUUGGGAAUGAAUGCCAGUCCCAAUACGAAUAAAAAGCAAGGACCCUGAUGUCCCGAUGUCCUAAGUCCUUUGGGUCCAGAGUCCUAAGUUUCAGUCACUAAAGAUAAGUAAUAAAACAGUUGAAA